UACGUAGGGUGCAAGCGUUGUCCGGAAUUAUUGGGCGUAAAGAGCUCGUAGGCGGUUUGUCGCGUCUGCUGUGAAAACUGGGGGCUCAACCCCCAGCCUGCAGUGGGUACGGGCAGACUAGAGUGCGGUAGGGGAGAUUGGAAUUCCUGGUGUAGCGGUGGAAUGCGCAGAUAUCAGGAGGAACACCGAUGGCGAAGGCAGAUCUCUGGGCCGUAACUGACGCUGAAGAGCGAAAGCAUGGGGAGCGAACAGG
rnacentral:rRNA from 1 species